rnacentral:rRNA from 1 species
AGCUAAUAGAUACCCCGGUAGUCCACGCCCUAAACGAUGUCUACUAGUUGUUGGUGGAGUAAAAUCCAUGAGUAAACGCAGCUAAACGCGUGAAGUAGACCGCCUGGGGAGUACGGUCGCAAGAUUAAAACUCAAAGGAAUUGACGGGGGCCCGGCACAAGCGGUGGAUUAUGUGGAUUAAAUUCGAUGCAACGCGAAAAACCUUACCUGGCCUUGACAUGCCACUAACGAAGCAGAGAUGCAUUAGGUGCCCGUAAGGGAAAGUGGACACAGGUGCUGCAUGGCUGUCGUCAGCUCGUGUCGUGAGAUGUUGGGUUAAGUCCCGCAACGAGCGCAACCCUUGCCAUUAAUUGCCAUCAUUUAGUUGGGCACUUUAAUGGGGACUGCCGGUGACAAACCGGAGGAAGGUGGGGAUGACGUCAAGUCCUCAUGGCCCUUAUGGCCAGGGCUUCACACGUAAUACAAUGGUCGGUACAGAGAGUUG